AAAUUGAAGAGUUUGAUCAUGGCUCAGAUUGAACGCUGGCGGCAGGCCUAACACAUGCAAGUCGAACGGUAACAGGAAGCAGCUUGCUGCUUCGCUGACGAGUGGCGGACGGGUGAGUAAUGUCUGGGAAACUGCCUGAUGGAGGGGGAUAACUACUGGAAACGGUAGCUAAUACCGCAUAAUGUCGCAAGACCAAAGAGGGGGACCUUCGGGCCUCUUGCCAUCGGAUGUGCCCAGAUGGGAUUAGCUAGU
rnacentral:rRNA from 1 species